GUGGCGCCUGGCGCUGCCGGCGGGGGCGACGCGGGACCACCCGGCCGCGAACCCGGAGGUGGGCGAGCUCCCGCCGCUGCUCGUCGCGGCCGGCGACCGCGACAUGCUGAUCGACCGCAUCAGGGAGUACGUGGCGCGGGCGCGGGCGCGGGCCGCCGCCGCGGGCAACAGGCGCGUCGACCUCGUCGAGUUCCCUGGCGCGGGGCACGGGUUCGCCAUCCUCGAGCCCGAUGGCGAGGCUGCGGGUGAGCUAGUCCGCGUCGUGCGGCGGUUUGUGCAUGGCGGAUGAGACAGGGAGUCGUUGGGAUUUGUCCGGACACCUCUCUCGUCACGCUUCCAGGUGCCAGCCAGCCUGCCACCACCAAACGUGACAUGGUUCAUGGUUGUAUCUCUCUCGUGAUCUUGUCCAAGUGCAAUGUGCAUGCACACCACAAUAAUUAUCGUAAUUAAUAAAUAUGCACACAACAAUAGUAUCUUUUAUUAUAUCAUACAUAAUCCCAGAACACAUUACGCUACCAGACAUAGGGCACAAGAGCUUUGACCCUGGACGGGAAGUCGUCGAACUUGGCGGCGUACCACUUCCUGGUGGCGCGGCUCCGGCCGGCGAGGUAGGCCGCGGUGCCCACGGCCACGGUGAGCGCGAACAGCGUCUGGGAGACCAUGGCGAGGCCGAAGAAGGCGAGGGUCUCGAAGAGGUAGUGCGGGCAGGCGACGAGGCCGAACAGCCCGCCGCUGGGGAUCCUGUACGCCCCCUCGCCGCCUGCGUCACCGCCGUGGCGCGCCCUCAGCCUCGAGAGGAGGUAGUGGUGGUAGAAGUUGCCGGCGAGGCCGACGGCGAAGGCGAGCACGCCGGGAAGCAGCAGGUCCACGCGGGGCUCCGGGAGCCCGCGGCGCCUGAGGCGCUGCGCGUAGAUCAUGCCGCCGCCGGCGAACAGGUAGUGGCCGGCGAUCAGCAGCGACGUGGCCAGCGGCAUGCUCCCGCUGUACCGGUGGAGGAAGAGCGCCUCGAGGACCCGUUUGAGGAAGUGGACGGCGAUGGCGGCGCUGAGGACGUGCGCGCGCGCGCCGUCGACGGCGCCUGGCACCGCGAAGGACGCGACCGCGGCGGCGAGCGCCGGGAAGUAGAGCAGCACCAUCCCGAUUCGGCUCGGUACCCGCACCCGCUGCCGCUGCUGCUGCUGCUUCGUCCCUUGCUGGCCGCCGCCGCCGCCGCCGCCGCCGCCGCGCGAGAACUUGGAGUAGGCCAAGUGGUCGCCUCGGAACUCGGAGACGGCCAGGAAGGCCAUCGCGACGGCGCCCGCCGCCGACGCCCACGCCUCGAGCGGCGACGGCGCGUGCAGGAACGGCGGCGCAGGCCACGCCAUCUGUUAUUAUUAGCUCGCGCGACCAGAGCUGUAGGACGGACGGUGGCGUUGCAUCGGA
rnacentral:misc_RNA from 1 species